rnacentral:misc_RNA from 1 species
UUUCCGUAGGUGAACCUGCGGAAGGAUCAUUAUCAUGUAAUUCAGUCCCCUUGGCUGUGUUAUAUAUAUACCCACUCUGUGUACCUUCCCUGUUGCUUCCGCUGGCUGUGUAAUUCGCCCGGCGGAAGGGUAAAAAUAACCUCUGAGUAUUGAUGAAAUCUCUGUCUGAACCGAAUAGAAAGAAAAAUGUUAAAACUUUCAGCAACGGAUCUCUUGGUUCUC